rnacentral:rRNA from 1 species
AGCUGAUCACUGGGCGUAAAGCGUGCGCAGGCGGUUUUGUAAGACAGAGGUGAAAUCCCCGGGCUCAACCUGGGAACUGCCUUUGUGACUGCAAAGCUGGAGUGCGGCAGAGGGGGAUGGAAUUCCGCGUGUAGCAGUGAAAUGCGUAGAUAUGCGGAGGAACACCGAUGGCGAAGGCAAUCCCCCUGGGCCUGCACUGACGCUCAUGCACGAAAGCGUGGGGAGCAAACA